AAAGACUUAGAUGCCAGGAGUAUCAGAUCCCUUCUGGGGUGAUGGGGGAAAUGGUCCGUUUCUAAGGGCAGUACACCCUGAGAUAUUUCAGGGCCCCAUAAACUUCUCCCAUCUCUAUUCCUACCACAUCAGAAGCUCCUGAUGCCCCCAUCCUGAAAUGGGGAAUUACAGAAAAUUGCCUGAAUCUGUUGCCUCCAGAGGAGUCUCAGAAGAGGCCAACCGUCAUACCAGAAACAUGGUCUACAAGCUUUAGCUCCAGCAUCAGAAAGCAAUCAUGGAGAGUGAAUUUGGAGAAAUCAAUAAAAAUUGGCUGAACCC